rnacentral:rRNA from 1 species
UACGUAGGGUGCGAGCGUUGUCCGGAAUUACUGGGCGUAAAGAGCUCGUAGGUGGUUUGUCGCGUUGUUCGUGAAAACUCACAGCUCAACUGUGGGCGUGCGGGCGAUACGGGCAGACUGGAGUACUGCAGGGGAGACUGGAAUUCCUGGUGUAGCGGUGGGAAUGCGCAGAUAUCAGGAGGAACACCGGUGGCGAAGGCGGUUCUCUGGGGCAUUACCUGACGCUGAGGAGCGAAAGCGUGGGGAGCGAACAGG